GCCCCCUUAGCUCAGCUGGUUAGAGCGUGGUGCUAAUAACGCCAAGGUCUUGGGUUCGAUCCCCAAAGGGGGCA
rnacentral:tRNA from 1 species